GAAUCCCAUGAAUCAGAGUCACAUGAUGCUCCACAACACCAGAUACUAUGGAGAAAUCUGACCAUAGCAUCUGUCUUGCUGAAUGUGCUUUUGACCAUUGCAUUGAUAGGUUUGAGAAAGAGCUAUCUUCAUACAAGAAGAUUUAAAAAUAGUUCAGAGAACCCUCAAAGUACUACAGCAGCUCAGUACUUAAAUGAUUCACAGUAUGCUGAGGUUGAUUUUUCCAUGCACCCCGGUGAAAACAGGCCUUGCCAGGAGCAGACCAUCUACUCUCUUCUCCAGCCAAUAAAAAGUAUGAAGUAACAUACAUUAUAAA